CGUUUACUGUACCUUAAAUUUGAUCUCAGCCAACGAGAUAACAUUGCCUUUGAAAGACGCAUUAUUGACAAUGUUAUACGGAUUGAAACCCGGCCUUAACGUUUUAGUGGAAAUUGCAAGAAAUGAAUAACAUACAGUACCGGUCAAAGGUUUCAGAACACCUACUCAUUCAAGGGUUUUUCUUUAUUUGUACUAUUUUCUACAUUGCAGAAUAAUUGUGAAGACAUUUCACUGUAGAGCUUCUAACCCUGCUCAUUAUACCUUAUCCAACCCUUCAGUUCCACCACCCACACAUGCGAUGACAUCACCUGGUUUCAAUUACGUUUCUAGAGACAAUAUCUCUUUCAUCAUCACUCAAUGCCUAGGUUUACCUCCACUGUAUUCACAUCCUACCAUACCUUUGUCUGUACACUAUACCUUAAAUCUAUUUUAUCGCCCCCAGAAACCUGCUCUUUUUACUCUCUGUUCCGGACGUCCUAGACGUCCAAUUCUCAUGGCUUUUAGCCAUACCUUUAUCCUACUCCUCCUCUGUUCUUCUGGCGAUGUAGAGGUGAAUCCAGGCCCUGCAGUGCCUAUCUCCACUCCUAUUCCCCAGGCUUUCUCUUUUGACUUCUGUAACCGUAAAAGCCUUGGUUUCAUGCAUGUUAACAUUAGAAGUCUCCUCCCUAAGUUUGUUUUAUUCACUGCUUUAGCACACUCUGCCAACCUGGAUGUCUUAGCCGUGUCUGAAUCCUGGCUUAGGAAGACCACCAAUAAAUCUGAAAUCGCCAUCCCUAACUACAACAUUUUCAGACAAGAUAGAACAGCCAAAGGGGGCGGUGUUGCAAUAUACUGGAGAGAUAGCCUGCAGAGUUCUGUCCUACUAUCCAGGUCUGCACCCAAACAAUUUAAACUUCUACUUUUAAAAAUCCACCUCUCUAAAAACAAGUCUCUCACCGUUGCCAUCUGCUAUAGACCACCCUCUGCCCCCAGCUGUACUCUGGAUACCAUAUGUGAACUGAUUGCCCCCCAUCUAUCUUCAGAGCUCAUGCUGCUAGGUGACCUAAACUGUGACAUGCUUAACACUCCGGCCAUCCUAGAAUCUAAGCUUAAUUCCCUCAAUCUCACACAAAUUAUCAAUGAAACUACCAGGUACAACGCCAAUACGUAAACACGGGCACCC
rnacentral:lncRNA from 13 species